GAUGAACGCUGGCGGCGGGCCUAAUACAUGCAAGUCGAGCGAAGCGGGGACGGGUGAGUAACACGUGGAUAACCUCCGAUGAGACGGGGUUAACUUCGGAAAACCGGAGCUAAACCGGUUACUUAUAAGUGGAGCCGCGCUGGAAUAGCUGGUUGGUAAGGUAACGGCUUACCAAGGCAACGAUGCAUAGCCGACCUGAGAGGGUGAUCGGCCACACUGGAACUGAGAAACGGUCCAGACUCCGACGGGAGGCAGCAGUAGGGAAUUUUCCGCAAUGGGCGAAAGCCUGACGGAGCAAUGCCGCGUGAGUGAUGAAGGUCUUCGGAUCGUAAAACUCUGUUAUUAGGGAAGCGGUACCUAAUCAGAAAGCCACGGCUAACUACGUGCCAGCAGCCGCGGUAAUAC
rnacentral:rRNA from 1 species